GAGGGUGGAGUGCGCAUGUGCAAGCCAGUAUGCCUGUGGAAGCCAGAAACUGAUGUCUUCCUGUAUUGCUCUCCAUUAAAUUUUUUAAGGGUUAAUUACAGUGGCCUCUGAGAGGAAAGGACUUCUUACUAGUGAAAAGAGAAAAAAAAAGACACUCUGAAGCUGUGACAUUUGCCGUCAUGUAAUUGGGAUGCCCUGAAAUCCUGGAGAGCAAGCACUUCUGGGAAAAACUGACCUGGGAGGUGACAUGCAAGUCCACGGGCCUCUCUUCACACUCAAGGACACCUCUACAGGACUACAGGCUGUUUGCCACACAAGGGCAUCACACAGAGUGGAAAUAAAGGCUCCACAAUUCAGUCCUUUCUAUAUUCAUAAGCCCUACCUGGGGGUCAGGUCUGUCUGGGUUAGCAAAUCUCCGUUCAUGCACCUGGUUAGACCACAGAGGAGCCUGGCAUCCUAGAGUACCUUAAAGGUACCACUUUCCUGUGCUUUCUAUCGUCUUACCAAGCAUCUGCUAUCCUCUUUCACACGCUCCUACACAGCCAUGCCCCAUCUCCUGUGCAGCAUAAAAGGGAAGGAGACACACCCAUAGUUGUACUAAUCACCGUGUCCUUGACUCUGUUGGCACUGUUCCCCUUCAUCAGGAACUUCACUCCCUUCACUGUACUUCCUCUUCUGACCAUCACCCCUCAAGAGAUAUCCGGCCGUUAGCUACAGUGACAUACUCCAUCAGAUAUCCAUACCACAUCCAUAUUCUUGUAACUGAAUCCAGGCUAGACCUUGUGCAAAGUGAAACUUAAUGUCAAAUGUUCUUUUCCCACCAAUAAUUAACCCACCACCCAUUAAAUUAAAAGUCUUGAUCUC
rnacentral:lncRNA from 1 species